rnacentral:misc_RNA from 1 species
AGCAGCCGCGGUAAUUCCAGCUCCAAUAGCGUAUAUUAAAGUUGUUGCAGUUAAAAAGCUCGUAGUUGAAUUUCGAGACCGGCUUACUGGUCGUGCUAUUGUGCGUACUGGUAUAAUCGGUUUCUCCUUUCUGACGAACUAUAAUGCCAUUAAUUUGGUGUUAUAGGGAAUCAGGACUGUUACUUUGAAAAAAUUAGAGUGUUUAAAGCAGGCUCACGCUUGAAUACAUUAGCAUGGAAUAACGGAAUAGGACGUUUGAUUCUAUUUUGUUGGUUUCUAGGAUCGACGUAAUGAUUAAUAGGGAUAGUUGGGGGCACUAGUAUUCAAUUGUCAGAGGUGAAAUUCUUGGAUUUAUUGAAGACUAACUACUGCGAAAGCAUUUGCCAAGGAUGUUUUCAUUAAUCAAGAACGAAAGUUAGGGGAUCGAAGACGAUCAGAUACCGUCGUAGUCUUAACCAUAAACUAUGCCGACUAGGGAUCGGAUGAUGUUAAUUUUUUAAUGACUCAUUCGGCGCCUUAC